rnacentral:rRNA from 1 species
AUACGUAGGGUGCGAGCGUUGUCCGGAAUUACUGGGCGUAAAGAGCUCGUAGGUGGUUUGUCGCGUCGUCUGUGAAAUUCCGGGGCUUAACUCCGGGCGUGCAGGCGAUACGGGCAUAACUUGAGUACUGUAGGGGAGACUGGAAUUCCUGGUGUAGCGGUGAAAUGCGCAGAUAUCAGGAGGAACACCGGUGGCGAAGGCGGGUCUCUGGGCAGUAACUGACGCUGAGGAGCGAAAGCAUGGGUAGCGAACAGAAUUAGAUACCCUGGUAGUCCAUGCCGUAAACGGUGGGCGCUAGGUGUAGGGGUCUUCCACGACUUCUGUGCCGUAGCUAACGCAUUAAGCGCCCCGCCUGGGGAGUACGGCCGCAAGGUUAAAACUCAAAGGAAUUGACGGGG